rnacentral:lncRNA from 1 species
CUCAGGCUGCUUUACCCAUGUCUUUGGGUUAUUGCUUCACUUACAAAAGCAAAACCAGAACUCACAGACAAUGAAUUAUGGGUGUGGUUGAUGCAAGAAAGAUGAAGCAGAGUUCCAACCAGGGGAUCCAUACUAGAAAUGAAGACAGUGGGUCUCCAUCAAAAUAUUGAUGAGUGAAUACAAAUAUACAUGUUUUUAAGAGACGGGGUUUCACCAUGUUAACCAGGUUGGUCUCCAUCUCCUGACCUCGUGAUCCGCCUGCUUCAGCCUCCCGAAGUGCUGGUAUUACAGGCGUGAGCCACUGCACCCAGCCAUCUCAGGACAUUAUAUGUAAAACAAAUAUAAGAAGACUCUGAAAGUUGGAGAAAAGACGUUAGACCAUCUGGAGACCUUGGGAUCUGAGGAACAACAUAGCAUGUCAGUGAAGACCACAUGGGGACAUGGAAGCAGUGACAAGACCCCUCUACCCUCUCUCAGCAGUAAGAGGAGCCCCUCCCCAUCCCAGGUGUCAACAGAGGCUGAGUGGGAACCUGGACUUCUACCCCCACCUGGUAGUAACAAGACAGGCUCCACCCCUUUCUUUGCCAGAGUGGUGUUGGAAGAAGCCAAUAAAAACAAAAGGUGUAAAUGAGACUGAGCGUCUCAUAACGUGAUAUCCAAAAUGUCUAGCUUUCCAUCGAAGAUCAUAUCAAGAGCCAGGAAAAUCUCAACUUGAAUGGAAAAAGACAAUCAAUAGAUCCCAACAUCAAAAUGACAGAGAUGGCAGAAUUAUCUGACAAAUAUUUUAAAGACAGCCAUUAUAUAAAUGUUUGAAAUAAACUAUUACAAACAUACUUGAAACAAACAAAAAAUAGAAAGUCUCAGCAGAAGUAUAGAAGAUAUAAAGAAGAACCAGAUAAAAAUUUUAGAACCGAAAAAUACAAAAGCCGAAACAAAAGACAACAGCAGAAUAAACGAGACAGGAAGAAAAUCAAUGAACUUGAAGAUAGAGCAGCAGAAAUUAAGCAAUAUGAAUAACAGAGAGAAAAUAGACUAAAAAAAUGAAAAGAACCUCAGGGACUUAGGAAACUAUAACAAAAGAUCUAACAUUCCUGUCACUGGAGUCUUGCAAGGAGAGAAGAAAAAGGGCGGGGCUAAGAAAAGGACACAAAGAAAUCAUAGCUAAAAGCUUCCAAAAAAAGUGAUGUAAUCUUAUUGGCAAUUAAGAAUUCAAAUUGAAUAAUAAAAUGACAUUUUUAUCCUUUGCUUCUCUAAUUGGCAAAAAAUAUUUAUGAUUGAUGACAUUGCAUAUUAGUAGGUAUAUGAGAAAUGAGGAUUCUUACAGUUAGUGACAGUUUAAAUUGAUGAUAUGUUUUUCAUUAAGUUUUUCUGAAUUGUCUAUUGCUAUCAAAAUUGUAAAUGUGCACAUUCCCUGAUGCUGAAAUUACACUUCCAGAAAUAAAUCUAUCCCAUGAAAU